UACGUAGGGGGCAAGCGUUUGUCCGGAUUUAUUGGGCGUAAAGAGCGUGUAGGCGGUUAUACAGGUCCGCUGUGAAAACUGGAGGCUUAACCUCCAGACGUCGGUGGAAACCGUAUGACUAGAGUCCGGAAGAGGAGAGUGGAAUUCCUGGUGUAGCGGUGAAAUGCGCAGAUAUCAGGAAGAACACCCGUGGCGAAGGCGGCUCUCUGGGACGGUACUGACGCUGAGACGCGAAAGCGUGGGGAGCGAACAGG
rnacentral:rRNA from 1 species